AUAAGAACCCCCUUCGUCUCUCUCGCCACUGUCCAUUUCCUACUUGCGACGGAGCGAGCCACCAGAGCGCACGAGCCAAGCGCAAGCAUCCAAGAACAAAAAAAAAGAAGCAUGCCUCCCAACGGUGGCACUGCUCUGCUGCUGCUCCUCUUGCCACCGCUGCUGCUGCACUGCCUCGUUUGCUUCGCCAAUGCCGGCUCGCUGCAGGACGACGUCGCCGCGCUGUCCGAGUUCCGGCUCGCCGCGGACCAAUCGGGCACGCUGGCGAGCUGGAACCUAUCCGAGAAGCCGCUUCCCUGCGAGACGUGGCGCGGGGUCACCUGCGCCGGAGGGCGCGUCACGAGGCUGGUGCUCGAGGGGCUCGGCCUCUCCGGCGCGGCGGCGCUCCCGGCGCUCGCGAGGCUGGACGGCCUCCGCGUGCUCAGCCUCAAGGGCAACAUCCUCUCUGGCGAAAUUCCCGACUUCUCGCCGCUCGCGGGGCUCAAGCUUCUGUUCCUUGCGAAGAACUCGCUGUCUGGCCCGAUUCCGACGUCGCUUGGGGCGCUGUACCGGCUGUAUCGGCUCGACCUGUCAUUUAACAACUUGUCCGGCGUCGUGCCGCCAGAGAUGAACAGGCUCGACAGGUUGCUGACGCUGAGGCUGGACUCGAACCGGCUCACUGGUGGGAUUGACGCCAUUGCGCUGCCGAGGUUGCAAGAGUUCAAUGUCUCCAACAAUUUGAUGUCAGGGAGGAUUCCGGCGCCGAUGGCGGGCUUCCCGGCAGCGGCGUUCGGCGGGAACGUUGGUCUGUGCAGCGCGCCGCUAGCACCGUGCAAGGACGAGGCGCAGCAGCCGAAUGCGUCGGCAGCCGUCAACGCGUCAGCGGCAGGGGAGUGCCCUCCAGCUGCAGCCAUGGUGGCGUCCUCGCCCUCCGCGAAGCCAGAUGGCGCUGAAACACCAGGCAGCGGCAAGGGAAGGAUGAGCCGCGCGGCCGUGGGGGCAAUUGUGGCGGGGGAUUUCGCCGUGGUGGGUCUCGUGGCCGGGCUGCUGUUCUGCUACUUCUGGCCGCGCCUCUCUGGCCGGCGCAGCGGCAGGCGCCUCCGAGCAGGGGAGAAGAUAGUGUACUCUUCGAGCCCUUACGGCGCCGCCGGAGUCGUCGCAGCGGCUGGUGGCACAUUUGAGCGGGGAAAGAUGGUGUUUUUGGAGGACAUCAGGAACAACGGUGGCACCAGCGACACGAGGCGGUUUGAGCUCGAGGAACUCCUGCGCGCAUCCGCGGAGAUGCUGGGUAAGGGCGCGUGCGGCACGGCGUACAAAGCCGUCCUCGACGACGGCACCGUCGUGGCCGUGAAGCGGUUGCGUGACGCCACGGCGGCGGCCGCGUCUAAGAAGGACUUCGAGCACCAGAUGGCCGUGCUCGGCCGCCUCCGCCACCCCAACAUCGUGCCACUCAACGCCUACUACUACGCCCGCGACGAGAAGCUGCUCGUGUACGAGUUCAUGCCCAACGGCUGUCUCUUCUCUCUCCUCCACGGUAACCGGGGCCCCGGGCGCACGCCGCUGGAAUGGGCGGCGCGCUUGCGCAUUGCGUCCGGCGCCGCACGCGGCCUUGCUUACAUCCACCACGCGGGCCGCCAGGGUAGCGGGACGUCCAAGCUCGCGCACGGCAACAUCAAGAGCACAAACAUACUCCUCGACAAGGCUGGCGUGGCGCGGCUCGCAGACUGCGGCCUGGCGCAGCUGGGCUCGUCCCCCGCGGCCGCCGCGGCGCGGUCUGCGGGGUACCGCGCGCCCGAGGCGCCCCCGCCACCCCGGCCCUGGGCGUCGCACAAGGGCGACGUGUACGCGUUCGGCGUGGUGCUGCUGGAGCUGCUGACGGGCCGGUGCCCGGGCAGCGAGCUCCCCAACGGCGGCGUGGUGGUGGAGCUGCCGCGGUGGGUGCAAUCCGUUGUGAGGGAGGAGUGGACGUCGGAGGUGUUCGACCUGGAGCUGAUGAAGGACAAGGGCAUCGAGGAGGAGAUGGUGGCGAUGCUGCAGCUGGCGCUGAGCUGCGCGUCGGCGGCGCCCGGCCAGCGGCCCAAGAUAGGGUACGUGGUGAAGAUGAUCGACGAGAUCCGCGCGUUCGGGGAGGCGUCUUCGUCGCACGAGUCGAUGGACGAGUCCUCCGGUGUCUCCGACUCGCCCGCCGUGUCAGAGGGCGGCGCGGUCAGCCAGUGAGGGCCUUUCGCCUGGCCCUUCGGAUGUGCCUCGUGAUGCGUGCUUUGGUUUUACUUCCUUUUCUUUUUAUUGCUUUUGGUGUGAAGGAUUAGCGUGGGCAGUUGGAUCUGCUGAUGGGCUUGUAUAUGCUGGCUCUGAUUCUGAUCAUUUUGCUCUUCUUUUUAGCAGUAGCUCCCCUUCGGAGUUUGGAUUGAACGAAAACUAGAGUAGUGGCAGCGCCGGUUCGUGUGAAAAAAGAGGAAGUGAUUGAACGAAAAUUAGAGUAGCAGCAAUUUCAGGCACAGCAAGUGUCAUUUGGCAGGCAAGAACCGGGGAAUUGAAGGAGGGUGGUUUCUCAGGUCCGGACGGAUGAGAACGCGACCAACACCGAUGGGUCAUCAUGGCGCUGCGAGGCGGGACCGGCCGUUUCGCGACGUGAUUUGGACACAUCCUCCUCGUCUUGUCUCAUGGACGCCCGCACGAACGUGCCAUGCACUGCCUGUGCCUAGCGCCAGCAUGCAUCUCCAUCUCGUACCUGCGUGGUGAGUUGAGUGGUCACCGUGCCGCGCCCCGAUGGAUCCUCCUGCCGCUCUACCUUCGUCGCUUUCGUCAGGGGAGGCUCAAAGGCUGCAGCAUCGGGCUGCGACGCUG